AGAGCGAACGCUGGCGGCAGGCUUAACACAUGCAAGUCGAGCGGGCGUAGCAAUACGUCAGCGGCAGACGGGUGAGUAACGCGUGGGAACGUACCUUUUGGUUCGGAACAACACAGGGAAACUUGUGCUAAUACCGGAUAAGCCCUUACGGGGAAAGAUUUAUCGCCAAAAGAUCGGCCCGCGUCUGAUUAGCUAGUUGGUGAGGUAACGGCUCACCAAGGCGACGAUCAGUAGCUGGUCUGAGAGGAUGAUCAGCCACAUUGGGACUGAGACACGGCCCAAACUCCUACGGGAGGCAGCAGUGGGGAAUAUUGGACAAUGGGCGCAAGCCUGAUCCAGCCAUGCCGCGUGAGUGAUAAAGGCCCUAGGGUUGUAAAGCUCUUUUGUGCGGGAAGAUAAUGACGGUACCGCAAGAAUAAGCCCCGGCUAACUUCGUGCCAGCAGCCGC
rnacentral:rRNA from 1 species